GGCCUGCUGGGCAGCGGCAAGCGCUGAGCCACCGCUCCGGCGGCGGGCGCUGCCCGCGGCGUCGCUGGUGGUACGGCACCGGCGCAGGCCU
rnacentral:tRNA from 1 species